AGUGAACGCUGGCGGCGUGCCUAAUACAUGCAAGUCGAACGGAGUGGCGCACGGGUGCGUAAUGUAUAGCUAAUCUGCCCUACACUAGAGGACAACAGCUGGAAACGGCUGCUAAUACUCUAUAGUGUAGGAUGAGGCUAUAUUGUAUCAGCUAGUUGGUGAGGUACUGGCGCACCAAGGCUAUGACGGAUAACUGGUCUGAGUGGAUGAUCAGUCAAACAGGAACUGAGACACGGUCCAGACUACUACGGGAGGCAGCAGGAGGGAAUGUUGCUCAAUGGGGGAAACGCUGAAGCAGCAACGCCGCGUGGAGGAUGAAACUUUUCGGAGCGUAAACUCCUUUUGUUAGGGAAGCGGUACCUAACGAAUAAUCACCGGCUAACUCAGUUCCAGCCGCCGCGGUAAUAC
rnacentral:rRNA from 1 species